rnacentral:rRNA from 1 species
GAGUUUGAUCGUGGCUCAGGAUGAACGCCGGCGGUGUGCCUAAUACAUGCAAGUCGUACGCACUGGCCCAACUGAUUGAUGGUGCUUGCACCUGAUCGACGAUGGAUCACCAGUGAGUGGCGGACGGGUGAGUAACACGUAGGUAACCUGCCCUGUACAGGGGGAUAACAACCAGAAAUGACUGCUAAUACCGCAUAAGACCACAGCACCGCAUGGUGCAGGGGUAAAAACUCCGGUGGUACAGGAUGGACCCGCGUCUGAUUAGCUGGUUGGUGAGGUAACGGCUCACCAAGGCGACGAUCAGUAGCCGGCUUGAGAGAGUGAACAGCCACAUUGGGACUGAGACACGGCCCAAACUCCUACGGGAGCAGCAGUGGGGAAUAUUGCACAAUGGGGGAAACCCUGGUGCAGCAACGCCGCGUGAGUGAAGAAGUAUUCGGUAUGUAAAGCUCUAUCAGCAGGGAAGAAGUGACGGUACCUGACUAAG